GGAGAAGGAAAUGGCAACCCACUCCAGUAUUCUUGCCUGAAGAAUCCCAUGGACAGAGGACUCUGGUGGGCUACAGUCCCUGGGGUUGCAAAGAGUUGGACACGACUGAGUGGCUAACAGUCUCUAGUAUAUGACUGGUUCUUGGAUCAUGGUCUGCAUUAGAAAUGCAGGGGUUCAGGGAAAUCCUAAGGUCAGAGGAGACUCUCUCUGAGACAUUAAAUUGUGGAAGUAGCUGCACCUGUUAUGAGUCUCUGCUGACUAAUCUUACUCCACCUGGAGAGGGCAGGGAUGGCCUGGGCCAGAGAAAGUGCAAUUCCAAACAAGCCCUUUAAUCUUUCUGGGUAGAAUGGCUUCUGCCAUCACAACUGUUCCUCCCUCAUCUCAAAAUACUCAUUUUUAGAUGCUUCUCAGGAUAUUUUUUGCUUCACAAGUGGGGAACCAAUGCUGCUAGCAAACUGGUAGAAAAGAGAGAUUGGGUGCUGCCUUUGGUGUAGUAAAGUCAGCCAUGGCCUGGGGAUCCAAAGGCUAAGGAAAGAGUAUGGUCCUGAGAGCCUGAUGCAUUGCAUUGGGUUUUUUGAGCAUAAGCAAGGGGACAGGUUCUGUAGCUCUUCAAGUGGGGGUUCUGCAAGGUUUGGAAAGAAGUGGCAAAGGUCACUGAGUUCACUGGACUACUACUAUAUUAAAAAUUUUGAAUUAGGACAAGCUAGAUUGUUUGGGCUUCCCAGGGGUCACAGUGGUUAAGAACUUUCCUGCCAAAGUAGAAGGCGCAAGAGAAGCAGGUCUGAUCCCUGGGCCAGGAAGAUCUCCUGGAGAAGGAAAUGAUAACUCACUCCAGCAUUCUUGCCUGGAAAAUUCCAUGGACAGAGGACCCUGGUGGGCCACAGUACCUGGAGUUGCAAAACGCUGGACAUGACUGAGUGGCUGAGCACACACACAAGCUAGAUUGUACUGUAAUAACACACAAUCUCUCCAUUUUGGUGGCUUAAAGAUGUAUUUUUCUGUCAUACAUCAUGUUCAUAAUGGAUUAACUUGGUAGUUCUCAUCAUAGUCACUCAGGGACCCAGACUGGUGAAGGUUCUAAAAUUUUGGAACUGGACAGCUCAUGUCACCAGAAGCAAAGAGCUCUCCUGGGGAGUCUCACACCAGAUGGUCAAUGCUUGGCUACAGACAGGCACACAUCACUCCCAGUCAUUCCGACUCAAGAUUCAUUGGCUAAACUAGUCAUGUCAUAACACCCUAACCAACCACAAGGAACCAGGAAUGGGAAAGAUGGAUAAAUAUUUGGUGAACAGCAUUAUUGACGAGCGCUCUGGCAUCCCUGAAGCUGAAACUCAGAUUUCCUCUUCUCUUUUUGCUUUCUUGUCUACCCCAAUUCCCCCCAGGUAGCACUUCGUCUGUGUUAGUGUCGACAGCUGGCAACAGCAAUGUGGGUCUAGAGACUGUAAUAAGCACUGUGUUCUGGAAACAUCACUCUUGUUUAGAGACUGCUAUUGUACCUAAAUGGCAUGGAUCUAGGAUUGGUUCUAUGACAUCCCUGUGUCUUAUUACCCUUUGGAACUUUGGGAAAGGGGAACAGAUGAGACUUCAAGUUGGAAUUAAUUCAACAAGGCGGGUGCGGAAAUGACUCCAUUUACAUUGCUGGAAGACAUCCCAGAGUCCUGCUGCUAGAGAAGGACCUAGGCUGCCUGGUACCAGGUACUGAAGUGCGAAAUCAAGAUCACAGCAAGCACCAGGAUGCGACACCAACGGAUUGAAGGAAGAGGAUGUACUUAAAGGGACUAUCCGAGUCUGUCAACGGCACUCACUGGCUGAACCUAACGAGGAGCCGGCAAGCAAGGGACCUCCAAUGGUGCAGUUUCCAGGGACCACCUCCCAGGGCAGAAAAGGCCCCGAGAAAGGAUUCCUGCCCACAGAAGUAGAUGUAAUGGUCAUCUGGUCAUAGCAAACACCCUCUUCCAACAACACAAGAGAAGACUCUAUACAUGGACAUCACCAGAUGGUUGACACCAAAAUCAGAUUGAUUAUAUUUUUUUUAGCCAAAGAUGGAGAAGCUCUAUACAGUUAGCAAAAACAAGACUGGGAGCUGAUUGUGGCUCAGAUCAUGAACUCCUUAUUGCCAAAUUCAGACUGAAAUUGAAGAAAGUAGGGAAAACCAUUAGACCAUUCAGGUAUGACUUAAAUCAAACCCCUUAUGAUUAUACAGUGGAAGUGAGAAAUAGAUUUAAGGGACUAGAUCUGAUAGAGUGCCUGAUGAACUAUGAACAGAGGUUUGUGACUUUAUACAGGAGACAGGGAUCAAGACCAUCCGCAUGGAAAAGAAAUGCAAAAAAGCAAAAUGGCUGUCUGAGGAGGCCUUACAAAUAGCUGUGAAAAGAAGAGAAGUGAAAAGCAAAGGAGAAAGGGAAAGAUAUGAGCAUCUGAAUGCAGAGUUCCAAAGAAUAGCAAGGAGAGAUAAGAAAGCAUUUCUCAGCAAUCAAUGCAAAGAAAUAGAGGAAAACAACAGAAUGGGAAAGACUAGCGAUCUCUUCAAUAAAAUUAGAGAUACCAAGGGAACAUUUCAUGCAAAGAUGGGCUCGACAAAGGACAGAAAUGGUAUGGACCUAAUAGAAGCAGAAGAUAUAAAGAAGAGGUGGCAAGAAUACACAGAACUGUACAAAAAAGAUCUUCAUGACCCAGAUAAUCACGAUGGUGUAAUCACUCACCUAGAGCCAGUCAUCCUGGAAUGUGAAGUCAACAGAGGAUGAGAUGGCUGGAUGGCAUCACCGACUCAAUGGACAUGAGUUUGGGUGAACUCCAGGAAUUGGUGGUGGACAGGGAGGCCUGGCAUGCUGUGAUUCAUGGGGUCGCAAACAGUUGGACACGACUGAGUGACUGAACUGAACUGAACUGAUGUGUGGACUAAUAUGUAGCUAAUUUUCAUAAAUGUUCCCUUUAUGUUUGAGUAAAUUUAUAUUUUUAAAUUUGAGGUAUAGAGUUCAAUAUAUGCUCAGUUCGCUCAGUUCAGUGGCUCAGUCGUGUGCGACUCUUUGUGACUCCAUGGACUG
ensembl:lncRNA